rnacentral:hammerhead_ribozyme from 1 species
GCACUGCUGAGGAGUCCCACAACAGGAUGAAACAACCGUCCAGUGC